AACACUUACCAGCAUACUACUGGUUUAAGUUCAUAGACUUGGCAACUUUUAAUGUGGCAUCAGCCUCUAAAGAGCUCAAAAACUCAGCUCAGGACAAGUUGCCUUUGUUUUCUUCCAUUUUGCAAGGACAAACCUGACAGAAAUGUAGGACCCGCAUAGAUAUUUAAACAGCCCAUGUGACGGGGAAAGCUUUCAGCCCAGCUAUGAAGGAUCGA
rnacentral:lncRNA from 10 species